rnacentral:rRNA from 1 species
AGCCAGACUCCUACGGGAGGCAGCAGUGGGGAAUAUUGCACAAUGGGGGAAACCCUGAUGCAGCGACGCCGCGUGAGUGAAGAAGUAUUUCGGUAUGUAAAGCUCUAUCAGCAGGGAAGAAAAUGACGGUACCUGACUAAGAAGCCCCGGCUAACUACGUGCCAGCAGCCGCGGUAAUACGUAGGGGGCAAGCGUUAUCCGGAUUUACUGGGUGUAAAGGGAGCGUAGACGGCAUGGCAAGUCAGAUGUGAAAGCCCGGGGCUCAACCCCGGGACUGCAUUUGAAACUGUCAGGCUGGAGUGCAGGAGGGGUAAGUGGAAUUCCUAGUGUAGCGGUGAAAUGCGUAGAUAUUAGGGGGAACACCAGUGGCGAAGGCGGCUUACUGGACUGUAACUGACGUUGAGGCUCGAAAGCGUGGGGAGCAAACAGGAUUAGAUACCCGUGUA